UGUUACUUUUAAUGAAAAGAUUUUGGAGUAGUAAUAUUAAUGAAAUUUAACGGAUUUGGCGGCAAGAUAGCCCCUUAGAGGAACCUGCCCUGUAAACGAUGAACCACGACGGACUCUACUUUUUUUGGUAAUCAGUUUGUAUAUCGCUGUUGUCAGUUAGAUUCUUGAGAAUAUUUUCGUUCAUGAAAAGUUCAUUGACUUCAAGUAAAGGUGCAGCUUAUAAGAAAGAUAGAGGUGGGUUACAUUUAUAAGAAUAAGACGGAGAGGAUGAUUGAAAUAGUCCUUGAAGGUGGAUUUAACUGUAAAACUUAAUUAGGUUUGGUGAGAGCUCUAUCUUGU
rnacentral:rRNA from 1 species